AGCUUGAAAAUCGGACGU
rnacentral:snRNA from 1 species